AUUUAAAUAAUUUAAAAAAAAAUAUUGAUUUGUGGUAUCAAAAAUAUGAAUAAAUUCAUUUUAAAUU
rnacentral:tRNA from 1 species